CUCCAGCUGUUUUUUGGACUACAAUUCCCAUCAUCCCUGACCUAAGGAUGAUGGGAGUUGUAGUCCAAAAACAGCUGGAG